rnacentral:rRNA from 1 species
CAAUAGCGUAUAUUAAAGUUGUUGCAGUUAAAAAGCUCGUAGUUGGAUUUGUGGCGUACGGUGGGUUCCGGGCACUUGUUGUCUGAGUAACUUGCUGUUGCCAUCCUUGGGUGGAACCUGUGUGGCAUUAGGUUGUCGUGCAGGGGAUGCCCAUCAUUUACUGUGAAAAAAUUAGAGUGUUCAAAGCAGGCUUAUGCCGUUGAAUAUAUUAGCACGGAAUAAUGAGAUAGGACUUUUUUGCUAUUUUGUUGGUUUGCGCAAAGAGGUAAUGAUUAAUAGGGACAGUUGGGGGUAUUCGUAUUCCAUUGUCAGAGGUGAAAUUCUUGGAUUUUUGGAAGACGAACUACUGCGAAAGCAUUUACCAAGGAUGUUUUCAUUAA